UACGAGGGGGGCAAGCGUUGUUCGGAUUUAUUGGGCGUAAAGGGUGCGUAGGCGGUUUGGCAAGUCUUGUGUGAAAUCUAUGGGCUCAACCCAUAGUCUGCAUCGGAAACUGUCGGACUUGAGUAUGGGAGAGGUGAGUGGAAUUCCGAGUGUAGAGGUGAAAUUCGUAGAUAUUCGGAAGAACACCAGUGGCGAAGGCGACUUACUGGACACAUAUUGACGCUGAGGUGCGAAAGCGUGGGGAGCAAACAGG
rnacentral:rRNA from 1 species